rnacentral:rRNA from 1 species
UACGUAGGAUCCGAGCGUUGUCCGGAUUUACUGGGUGUAAAGGGUGCGCAGGCGGACUGGUAAGUCAGUGGUGAAAUCUCGUCGCUUAACGACGAAACUGCCUUUGAUACUAUCAGUCUUGAGUCCGGUAGAGAUCUGUGGAAUUCCGAGUGUAGCAGUGAAAUGUGUAGAUAUUCGGAAGAACACCAGUGGCGAAGGCAGCAGAUUGGGCCGGUAUUGACGCUCAGGCACGAAAGCAUGGGGAUCAAACAGG